UUUUUUAUACUAAUUGUAUUUUUAGUAGGGACCGGGUUUCACCGUGUUAGCCAGGAUGGUCUCGAUCUCCUGACCUUGUGAUCCACCCACCUCGACCUCCCAAAGUGCUGGGAUUACAGGUGUGAGCCACCAUGCCCGGCCCUUUAAAAUGUUUUUGAGAACUCCUUAACAAGUCCUCUAAGCCCACAGAAUGUCAUUCUUGAUUACCUUUCUCCACUCACUUCUCACCAACUUCCUCCUCUCCUUUUAUACUCCAGGCAUAAUUAAAUGUUCUCAGCUCUCAUAUCAACACCAACAUGCUGCCUUCCGCCUUAUCCCAGGAACCCCCUUGUCCUCUGUGCUUGGCCUGACUCCUACUGAUCAUCCACAUUACAGCUUAAAUGUUGCUUCUGGGACAUAUUUCCUGAAUACCUAACACUGCAGAGACAGGUCCAGGUGCUCAUUGUAGGUGCUCCCACAGCUCCCUGGAUCACUUUCUAAUAUUUUUUACCCAUUAUUGCAAAUAUCACUGGUAUUUUUCCACUUCCAUUUUAUUUUCUGUUGCAUGCUGUAGUUCUAACUAUAGGGCAGGAUGUAGAAUAGGUGCUUUACUAAUAUUUGUGGCAUAAAUGAAUGACGAAAAAAACAAAUGGAAUUAGAAAGAAACUUGUAAUUCUUAAGAGUCCAAAAGGUAUCUCUCUCCAUCUCCCAACUAGCCAAGGUGUUCUUCAGCCUUCCCUAGGCUAAACUUCUCCAUUGGAUCAAUAGCAGGUGGUCAACAAAGACAAAAACACCAUCUUCAGAAUGACUCAGAUCAUCCUCUUGGGCAGCCCUUUUUGGAUAUCUCUAUGAAAUUCUGCAGCUGAAAGCUGACACGCAUAAUUAUUUCCUGUUAGAUACUGAAGAAAAAAAAAAGCCCAGGAGAUAUUGUCGAGACUGUUUCUGGGGUGUGAUUGGGGGAUAGGAGAUGAAUGGUGUCAGAAUUGGAACAUGAAGUAGAACUUCCAGUAACCCCUAGGAGCAUCAAGUGACCCAGAGAGGUAACCCCCUCCACCAGGGUCCAUUGCAUCCAUUGCUCUCUCACAGCAACUGAGGCUCAUGGGACUGGAGUGGAGUCGGUAGGAAGGAACAGUCUUUGAAGUUAGAUGCGCCAGGUUGUAACCCCACUUCCACCAAUUGUGGUAACUUUGUGAGACAAGCCUCAAAUUUUACCACUGUACCAAGAAAUGAAAGCCAGAAUGUGGAAUUGGAGCUGGUAAUGACGACGUCAGGACAGGUUCAAAGGAAGCCCAUCACUUGAGUAAAAAUUUAUAGCCCUGCUUGUGCUGUGCUGUGCUGUGCUGUGAGUUUCAGUUCCGGGCCAGCAAAAGAUUUAUCAAAGGAAAGCAACAAGGUGUAAGAAAAAUUAAUUUCAGAGAGGAAAAUAAAGUUGCUUGAGGGGCUCUUCAAUGACCAAAGGCCAUAAGAGACUGGAAGGCAAAAGGACCCAUUAAUGUAAUCCAAACAUCAGUCUCCUGCAGCAAAGAGGUGAAUGGAGAAGGGUGGAGAGUAGCUGUGGACGAGUGAAAAAGACAUCGCACCAUGUCUUCAAAUUACAUCCAGCAACUUCAUAUGAACUAUGAAACCCUUGUUGCCACAAUAGUCCCUCUUUGUUUGAACUACUACAAGAAUAAAGAAAUUUCUUUCUAAUCUUUUGCAGAAGAAUUACAUAGACUCUCACUUACUGCUCUUGUUUCAUAGGUGGCUGAUUUUCCAAUUAUAUUAAAUACUUUUGGAAGGGCUGGGACUACAUCUAAUUUCUUGAAAAGUCUGGUGCUGUGGAAGACCAAGACCCAGACUGUUGAGGUCAGCCUAAUGUAAUGUGAAAUAUCUAAACUCUGCGUACUUCUUUACCAUGAGUGUAUAGAUAAAAUAUCAUUGCAUUUAAGGAAAUUGCUUAAAGCCUCACAGUGAAUAAAGUUGACAAAACAUGUAGACUUAUUGCAGAUUUUAUGCAUUUAGGUUUUAUGGCUUCAUUUGCAAUCAGGACUCCCCUCCCCUCCCUUCCUCCCUUCCUUCCCUUCCCUUCCCUGUCCUUCUUUCUUUCCUUUCCUUCCCCUUCCUUCCUUCUCCUCGUCCUGUUU
rnacentral:lncRNA from 10 species